rnacentral:rRNA from 1 species
CGCUAGCUACAGGCUUAACACAUGCAAGCCGAGGGGCAGCAUGGUCUUAGCUUGCUAAGGCCGAUGGCGACCGGCGCACGGGUGAGUAACACGUAUCCAACCUGCCGUCUACUCUUGGACAGCCUUCUGAAAGGAAGAUUAAUACAAGAUGGCAUCAUGAGUCCGCAUGUUCACAUGAUUAAAGGUAUUCCGGUAGACGAUGGGGAUGCGUUCCAUUAGAUAGUAGGCGGGGUAACGGCCCACCUAGUCUUCGAUGGAUAGGGGUUCUGAGAGGAAGGUCCCCCACAUUGGAACUGAGACACGGUCCAAACUCCUACGGGAGGCAGCAGUGAGGAAUAUUGGUCAAUGGGCGAGAGCCUGAACCAGCCAAGUAGCGUGAAGGAUGACUGCCCUAUGGGUUGUAAACUUCUUUUAUAAAGGAAUAAAGUCGGGUAUGGAUACCCGUUUGCAUGUACUUUAUGAAUAAGGAUCGGCUAACUCCGUGCCAGCAGCCGCGGUAAUACGGAGGAUCCGAGCGUUAUCCGGAUUUAUUGGGUUUAAAGGGAGCGUAGAUGGAUGUUUAAGUCAGUUGUGAAAGUUUGCGGCUCAACCGUAAAAUUGCAGUUGAUACUGGAUAUCUUGAGUGCAGUUGAGGCAGGCGGAAUUCGUGGUGUAGCGGUGAAAUGCUUAGAUAUCACGAAGAACUCCGAUUGCGAAGGCAGCCUGCUAAGCUGCAACUGACAUUGAGGCUCGAAGGUGUGGGUAUCAAACAGGAUUAGAUACCCUGGUAGUCCACACGGUAAACGAUGAAUACUCGCUGUUUGCGAUAUACGGCAAGCGGCCAAGCGAAAGCGUUAAGUAUUCCACCUGGGGAGUACGCCGGCAACGGUGAAACUCAAAGGAAUUGACGGGGGCCCGCACAAGCGGAGGAACAUGUGGUUUAAUUCGAUGAUACGCGAGGAACCUUACCCGGGCUUAAAUUGCAGAUGAAUUACGGUGAAAGCCGUAAGCCGCAAGGCAUCUGUGAAGGUGCUGCAUGGUUGUCGUCAGCUCGUGCCGUGAGGUGUCGGCUUAAGUGCCAUAACGAGCGCAACCCUUGUUGUCAGUUACUAACAGGUUCCGCUGAGGACUCUGACAAGACUGCCAUCGUAAGAUGUGAGGAAGGUGGGGAUGACGUCAAAUCAGCACGGCCCUUACGUCCGGGGCUACACACGUGUUACAAUGGGGGGUACAGAGGGCCGCUACCACGCGAGUGGAUGCCAAUCCCCAAAACCUCUCUCAGUUCGUACUGGAGUCUGCAACCCGACUCCACGAAGCUGGAUUCGCUAGUAAUCGCGCAUCAGCCACGGCGCGGUGAAUACGUUCCCGGGCCUUGUACACACCGCCCGUCAAGCCAUGGGAGCCGGGGGUACCUGAAGUGCGUAACCGCGAGGAGCGCCCUAGGGUAAAACUGGUGAC